rnacentral:rRNA from 1 species
UACGGAGGAUGCAAGCGUUAUCCGGAUUUAUUGGGUUUAAAAGGGUGCGCAGGUUGUUUGAUAAGUCAGUGGUGAAAGUCUGUCGCUUAACGGUAGGAUUGCCAUUGAUACUGUUAGACUCGAAUAUGGAUGAGGUAGGCGGAAUGUGUAGUGUAGCGGUGAAAUGCAUAGAUAUUACACAGAACACCGAUUGCGAAGGCAGCUUACUAAUCCAUCAUUGACGCUGAGGCACGAAAGCGUGGGGAUCAAACAGGA